UACGUAGGGUGCGAGCGUUAAUCGGAAUUACUGGGCGUAAAGCGUGCGUAGGUGGUUUCUUAAGUCCGUUGUGAAAGCCCUGGGCUCAACCUGGGAACUGCAGUGGAUAGUGCUGGGCUGGAGCACUGUAGAGGCAGGCGGAAUUCCGGGUGUAGCGGUGGAAUGCGUAGAGAUCCGGAAGAACACCGGUGGCGAAGGCGGCCUGCUGGGCAGUUGCUGACACUGAGGCGCGACAGCGUGGGGAGCAAACAGG
rnacentral:rRNA from 1 species